AUUAGCUAGUUGGUGAGGUAAUGGCUCACCAAGGCGACGAUCUCUAGCUGGUCUGAGAGGAUGAUCAACCACACUGGGACUGAGACACGGCCCAGACUCCUACGGGAGGCAGCAGUGGGGAAUAUUGGACAAUGGGGGCAACCCUGAUCCAGCCAUGCCGCGUGUGUGAAGAAGGCCUUCGGGUUGUAAAGCACUUUCAUUGGUGAGGAAGGAGGUAAAGCUAAUAUCUUUAUCUAUUGACGUUAACCAAAGAAGAAGCACCGGCUAACUCCGUGCCAGCAGCCGCGGUAAUACGGAGGGUGCGAGCGUUAAUCGGAAUUACUGGGCGUAAAGGGCAUGCAGGCGGUUACAUAAGUCAGGUGUGAAAUCCCCGCGCUUAACGUGGGCAUUGCAUUUGAAACUAUGUAGCUAGAGUUCUGUAGAGGGGGGUAGAAUUCCAGGUGUAGCGGUGAAAUGCGUAGAGAUCUGGAGGAAUACCGAUUGCGAAGGCAGCCCCCUGGACAGUGACUGACGCUCAUAUGCGAAAGCGUGGGGAUCAAACAGGAUUAGAUACCCUGGUAGUCCACGCUGUCAACGAUGUCGAUUUGGAGGUUGUGGCUUUAAGCCGUGGCUUCCGAAGCUAACGCGUUAAAUCGACCGCCUGGGGAGUACGGCCGCAAGGUUAAAACUCAAAUGAAUUGACGGGGGCCCGCACAAGCGGUGGAGCAUGUGGUUUAAUUCGAUGCAACGCGAAGAACCUUACCUACUCUUGACAUCCAGAGAAUCCUGUAGAGAUACGGGAGUGCCUUCGGGAACUCUGAGACAGGUGCUGCAUGGCUGUCGUCAGCUCGUGUUGUGAAAUGUUGGGUUAAGUCCCGCAACGAGCGCAACCCUUAUCCUUUGUUGCUAGCGGUUCGGCCGAGAACUCAAAGGAGACUGCCAGUGAUAAACUGGAGGAAGGUGGGGAUGACGUCAAGUCAUCAUGGCCCUUGCGAGUAGGGCUACACACGUGCUACAAUGGGGUAUACAAAGAGAGGCAAGCUCGCGAGAGUAAGCGGAACUCAUAAAGUACCU
rnacentral:rRNA from 1 species